rnacentral:tRNA from 1 species
GGGCUUGUAGCUCAGUUGGUAGAGCACCGCACUCUUACUACAACCUUUUCUAGAAGAAAAGGUUCUAGGAGUUCCAAAAGACUAUUUUAGUUUUUGGAUUCGUAAGUGAAAUGCGGGUGUCGGGGGUCCAAAUCCCCUCAGGCCCA